UACGUAGGGUGCAAGCGUUGUCCGGAAUUAUUGGGCGUAAAGAGCUCGUAGGCGGUCUGUCGCGUCUGCUGUGAAAACUCGGGGCUUAACCCCGGGCCUGCAGUGGGUACGGGCAGACUCGAGUUCGGUAGGGGAGACUGGAAUUCCUGGUGUAGCGGUGAAAUGCGCAGAUAUCAGGAGGAACACCGAUGGCGAAGGCAGGUCUCUGGGCCACUACUGACGCUGAGAAGCGAAAGCAUGGGGAGCGAACAGG
rnacentral:rRNA from 1 species